CCCACGCCCCCCUCUCCCGAAUCCCCUCAGAUCUCGUCCCUUCUCCACCACCCCAUUUGCUGGUUCCCUUCAUGGAUGGAGCAGCGAGCAAUGAAGGGAGGGCUCCAUGGCUGAGGAGAUGGAGCUCGACGCCAUGGUUGUGGAGGUGAAGCUCGACCUGGAGGACCACACGGGGAAGAUGACGAACAUGGCAGGGGCCGCCAUGGAUUCGCCGUCCAGGGUGUCCAAGCAGCGUGCCGGGGAGGAUUUCCUCGCCGUCCUCGCCCAAUCCCUAGGUGCAGCACCUUUCUUACCUUUCCUUCACAUCCCCUUCCAUCAACAUCUCCUUAUUUACUCACCUAUUUUGAUGUUGGAGGUGUGCACAGAAGGUGUUUGAGUAAAUGCCCAAGGGCAAAAACUGCUCUGUGAAUUUUGAUUAAGCUUGAGCGUUCGGGAGGCAUGAAUACGUAGACUUGUGUUUUCCCUAGCCAGUUUUUACGGCAUUACAAAUAACAUGGUGGCUAUAAGGUCAGCCAUAAAAUGGACUCUACAACUGUCUAAUACACUGUUAAGUGAUCAUUUAAGCUUUUUGCAACAUACUACUCAUAGAGUUACUGGUUUAUGCAACGAAAAUUUUGUCUCACUUGUCUGUGCAACAUCCUCCCCAAGAGUUGCUGGUCUUUGCAAUUUCCUCUCGCCCCGGCGACAUGCCGUUCCAGAGAAGUGGGCGGCGACCGACGGGAGCAGCGCAGCCAGCUGCUCUCGCCACCGUGCGCCGUGCCGGCGCCGGUAGGAGCUCUGCCCGUCACGCUCCUACCACCACCAACUCCCUCCUCCUCAGGUGGAUCUCCGUCAUCUGCGUCCCCAAGGAAACCGCAGGUCAGUCGCGCCGCUCCCAAUGCCGCCUCUAGCUCCCUCCCUUGUCGUGGGGAAUGGUCAACAACCACUGCGGGAGCAUUCCGUCUCUGCAUCUUCAUCGCUCCUCAAUCGAGGACUGCAGGCUCCUGUUGUGCUUCACCUCUCCAUCCUCUUGCCGAGAAGGAUGGUGACACGGAAACAGCGACCUCUCCAUCUCCGUCAAUGCAGCGCAAAGGGAGCACACACCCGAGAUGACCAUCCACGGCGUCGUUGCCAUCGAUCUGUCUUCCGCUGUUGUGUGCUCCGCCCCACUGCCCUCCUCAUGUCCUCACUCCCCAUGAGGAUGCUGCGGAUGGCGCUGCUGCCGCACGAUUCGUCGUGUAGGAGGUGCAAUCAACAAUUAAGAAGAAAAUCCCUGGAAGAAGAGGAUGCAGAGCUGGGUAGUUCAAUUAAGGCACACAUUUUUCUACCUAAUGACUCUGCCACAUUCUUGGACCUGAUGACAGUGACUCUUUUGAUAUUUCCAUUGAGCAGAGAUGAAGAGGUCCUUGAAUUGAAUAAAGAUUCAGGUUUCUUCUUGCCUGCAUUUUUUUAUACUUGCAUAUAUUAAUUGGUUACUUGCCUGAUUUUUGGUGAAUUCUAAUUGUUCAAUCUAUAAGUUAACUGAGCACAAAAUCUCUUGGUGGUGACUACCAAUAGUUCUAUAGAUGAAUUAAUUUCUGCAUGUCAGAUUCUUUUGUUUGUUUUACCUACACGGCUGGGUUUGAUGGUUUGCUCUUGCUGAUGACUCCAAGUACACAAAAGCUCUUGGUGGUGAUUCCAUUCACACAGUUGAAAAAUCGCAUGACUAGAGUGACUCAAAUAUUGUGGACACUGUACGUUUUCCACUACAGAAAAUUCAGACGUUAAGGGCGCAAUUACUUUCUUUCUGGAAUUUUCUGUGGUGCGAUUAUAUCAUGUUUAGUCGCCUCGCUGACAAGGAUUAUGCCGCUGUCACAAGCAUGUCUUGGGCUGAUUAUGGCGUCACAACCUGGAUGGGCUUGAAGAUAUUUCAUAAUUUUCUAAUUUUUAGGUUGAUCAAGUGGUUUUUAAUGUUUUCGACCAACACACAUUUUCCAAACUUGAACCAUCAAAAUGAUAUAGCAGCAUCCAUGGUCCAGGAUUGGAUAGGAAAGUGUUGAGCAGAUGGAGUGGAAGAGAAGCGAAGAGGGAGUGGCAGGUCUAUGGGAAAAUCCCGAAAUACGUGUAUCUGGGGUGUUGCUAUCGCAGGCUGCUGCUACAUUCUUUUAUUCCUCAGCAAUCCAAUGGUGGAUGGAAUUAUAAAAUUCCAGAGAGACCAUACUCCACCGGUGUAGAGGACUUUCAUCGGGGCAUCAGACCUCAAGAACUAGCUAAUGGUGUUCGGGAGGCACCGUGGAGGCUACAGGCUGCAGCAAUGCUCCAGGGAGAACUACACCACUUUCAUCUCCAAGAAGUUGCUGGUCUGCAGUAAUAUGGAGGAUGCUUAAUUGGUCACUUUGGGUUUGUAUGUGCCGCAAGCUCCACUAGCAAUUGGUUAUUCAGCGUUCAUGUUUGUCUUUUAAGUGAGCAAAUGGAGAAAUGAACCAAUUUGUCUUUUUAGCUUGGUUCUUAGUUACUCUUUGUUUGGGCCAAUAUAUUUUGUGCGGUUCCAACCACUAGAUUGUGUGGAACAUCUUGGAAAUAUACACAUUCAGUUACGAUACGAAUUUGUUGUGACCAAAAAAAGAAGAGAACUAUUUCCUAAAUGUAUGGUUGCGGAAGUUCUCACAUUCACAAGGCAUAGUGCAAUGUUGCUACCUCUCCCCGAAAUGGCACACAAAGAUCAGCUUUCCUGCUAUGAAUCCAUAUUCCUUUGAAAAGAAGGAGCAGAAGCAUCAGCUGCACCGCACGAGGAUACGAUGCCAACGUGCCUUACGAACCAAUGUCCAUGAGCCAACAGAGGCUGGAUUCACUGUUCUAGCUAUCCCAUUAGCGUGUCAGGGUGUAUGUCUCUGACUCCGACGUUGAUCCACCGUCCCACGGUAUAGCAGUAUGUACUUUGUUUGCAUCGCUAUGCACAAACUUGAAUCACAUCUCUCUCUAAAUCCACCCCUAAUCUGAACACCUUGUUUUCUGCCAUAUUAUAUGGUUCCAUCUGCUGUUUAAAUGUCUGAGGGGAAACAACUCAGGAAAGAUGCCACUAUGUGUCUGCUUAUGUUUGAAAGGGUGGCUUGCUUUUUCUCCAACUUUAUGACAAUGUGCAUCUCUAAAUAUUGUGUCUUUGUGUUUACUGGUCAAAAUAUUGUGUCUUUGUGUUUACAGCUAAUUGGUCUUUUAGAUGUUUAUUGUGUCGUGUCUUUGCUUAUUAGCGGUUACCUAUUUCCGGAUAACUCUGACCUUUCAGCCCAUUAUUGCCAUGUGACUUCCAAACCUGACUGAAAUGCAGUGGUAGUUCAGUUUUGUUGUGCAUGUUCCUUAAACUGGAUACCAUCCCAUCUGACUACUGCUGGUUCUUGCUACAUCAGGAAAAUGUCCUCUUUGGAAUUUCAUAGCCCGAUCACCCAUGUUUAAUUGUAGCACGGGUGAAUAUGAUAUUUUUUUCAUUGGGUCGCUACUUAAUUUGAGCAGGAAAAUUUGUAGCGUGUCCAAUUCUGCAUUGGCCGCUGUGGAAAAUGGUACGCAAAACCUGUGAGCAUGAGUAGCUCUGUCAGAGUGUAUUCCUGGAAGGAGCAGUCCUCGUGCAAAGGAGAAAGAGAGAAAUCGAGGGCACCUAUCUUGGAGGCUAUAAAUCAUCCAGCCAAACGUUCUUCCACAAAGAACCGUGUCACAUGCAUUUGUUUGUGCGUGUUGUAAUUCCUUUGUAAAUAUGAAACAUUAGCUAAUUAACUGAGUUCUUGUUAGGGUGCUGUACUAUCCAAAUAUGUUCAGGUUCGCUCAGAAAAAAGUGUUUAGGUUGGGCGAGUUCGAGUUUGUUUGCCUUCGGAAGUGAGGUACAAGAAGUUCAUGGAUUGCAAAUUUUAAGAUGAACAUUGAAGUUCUUCGGACAGCUGUAUUGUCUAUCUCUCAAUAUUGGGAGUUGUUAUUUAUUUCUUUUGUCAAACAGAAGCUAUG